rnacentral:rRNA from 1 species
GAUGUGUAGGAUAGGUGGGAGGCUUUGAAGUGUGGACGCCAGUCUGCAUGGAGCCGACCUUGAAAUACCACCCUUUAAUGUUUGAUGUUCUAACGUGGACCCGUAAUCCGGGUUGCGGACAGUGUCUGGUGGGUAGUUUGACUGGGGCGGUCUCCUCCUAAAGAGUAACGGAGGAGCACGAAGGUUGGCUAAUCCUGGUCGGACAUCAGGAGGUUAGUGCAAUGGCAUAAGCCAGCUUGACUGCGAGCGUGACGGCGCGAGCAGGUGCGAAAGCAGGUCAUAGUGAUCCGGUGGUUCUGAAUGGAAGGGCCAUCGCUCAACGGAUAAAAGGUACUCCGGGGAUAACAGGCUGAUACCGCCCAAGAGUUCAUAUCGACGGCGGUGUUUGGCACCUCGAUGUCGGCUCAUCACAUCCUGGGGCUGAAGUAGGUCCCAAGGGUAUGGCUGUUCGCCAUUUAAAGUGGUACGCGAGCUGGGUUUAGAACGUCGUGAGACAGUUCGGUCCCUAUCUGCCGUGGGCGCUGGAGAACUGAGGGGGGCUGCUCCUAGUACGAGAGGACCGGAGUGGACGCAUCACUGGUGUUCGGGUUGUCAUGCCAAUGGCACUGCCCGGUAGCUAAAUGCGGAAGAGAUAAGUGCUGAAAGCAUCUAAGCACGAAACUUGCCCCGAGAUGAGUUCUCCCUGAGACUUAGAGUCUCCUGAAGGAACGUUGAAGACGACGACGUUGAUAGGCCGGGUGUGUAAGCGCAGCGAUGCGUUGAGCUAACCGGUACUAAUGAACCGUGAGGCUUAACCUUAC